rnacentral:rRNA from 1 species
CCAUCGGCGCAAUCGCCUUGAGUUGAUCAUGGCUCAGAAUCAACGCUGGCGGCGUGCCUAACACAUGCAAGUCGAACGCGAAAGCCCCGCAAGGGGCAAGUAGAGUGGCAAACGGGUGAGUAACGCGUGGGUGACCUGCCUUCGAGCGGGGGAUAACGUUCCGAAAGGGACGCUAAUACCGCAUAACAUUCCGUCUUUGAACAGAUGGCAAUCAAAGCUGGGGAUCGCAAGACCCAGCACUCGAAGAGGGGCCCGCGUCCGAUUAGCUAGUUGGUGAGGUAACGGCUCACCAAGGCAUCGAUCGGUAGCCGGCCUGAGAGGGCGGACGGCCACACUGGGACUGAGACACGGCCCAGACUCCUACGGGAGGCAGCAGUGGGGAAUUGUUCGCAAUGGGCGCAAGCCUGACGACGCAACGCCGCGUGGAGGAUGAAGAUCUUCGGGUCGUAAACUCCUGUCGAAUGGGACGAACGGAUCGCGGGUGAAUAUCCCGUGGUCGUGACGGUACCGUUAAAGGAAGCCCCGGCUAACUCCGUGCCAGCAGCCGCGGUAAUACGGGGGGGGCAAGCGUUGUUCGGAAUUACUGGGCGUAAAGGGCUCGUAGGCGGCCAACUAAGUCAGACGUGAAAUCCCUCAGCUUAACUGGGGAACUGCGUCUGAUACUGGAUGGCUUGGAUUCGGGAGAGGGAUGCGGAAUUCCAGGUGUAGCGGUGAAAUGCGUAGAUAUCUGGAGGAACAC